UCAGUUCGGAUCGGAGUCUGCAACCCGACUCCGUGAAGCUGGAUUCGCUAGUAAUCGCGCAUCAGCCAUGGCGCGGUGAAUACGUUCCCGGGCCUUGUACACACCGCCCGUCAAGCCAUGGGAGCCGGGAGCGCUUGAAGUGCGUCGCCGCGAGGCGCGCCCUAGAGCGAGACCGGUGACUGGGGCUAAGUCGUAACAAGGUAUC
rnacentral:rRNA from 1 species